rnacentral:rRNA from 1 species
UACGUAGGGGGCGAGCGUUGUCCGGAUUUAUUGGGCGUAAAGAGCGUGUAGGCGGUUCGGUAAGUCUGUCGUGAAAUCCUGAGGCUCAACCUCGGGCGUGCGAUGGAUACUGCCGGGCUAGAGGGUGGUAGAGGCGAGUGGAAUUCCCGGUGUAGCGGUGAAAUGCGCAGAUAUCGGGAGGAACACCUGUAGCGAAGGCGGCUCGCUGGGCCACACCUGACGCUGAGACGCGAAAGCUAGGGGAGCGAACAGG